UACGGGGGGGGCAAGCGUUGUUCGGAAUUACUGGGCGUAAAGGCUCGUAGGUGGCCAACUAAGUCAGACGUGAAAUCCCUCGGCUUAACCGGGGAACUGCGUCUGAUACUGGAUGGCUUGAGUUUGGGAGAGGGACGCGGAAUUCCAGGUGUAGCGGUGAAAUGCGUAGAUAUGGGGAGGAACACCGGUGGCGAAGGCGGCCACCUGGACGGUAACUGACGCUGAGACGCGAAAGCGUGGGGAGCAAACAGG
rnacentral:rRNA from 1 species